UUGGAGGGCAAGUCUGGUGCCAGCAGCCGCGGUAAUUCCAGUUCCAAUAGCGUAUAUUAAAGUUGUUGCAGUUAAAAAGCUCGUAGUUGAAUUUCGGGGUUAGUAGGUUGGUCAUGCCUCUGGUAUGUACUGGUCUCACUGAUUCCUCCUUCCUGAUGAGCCGUAAUGCCAUUAAUUUGGUGUUGCGGGGAAUUUGGACUGUUACUUUGAAAAAAUUAGAGUGUUUAAAGCAAGCUAACGCUUGAAUACAUUAGCAUGGAAUAAUGAAAUAGGACGUUCGAUCCUAUUUUGUUGGUUUCUAGGAUUGACGUAAUGAUUAAUAGGGAUAGUUGGGGGCAUUAGUAUUCAAUUGUCAGAGGUGAAAUUCUUGGAUUUAUUGAAGACUAACUACUGCGAAAGCAUUUGCCAAGGAUGUUUUCAUUAAUCAAGAACGAAAGUUAGGGGAUCGAAGACGAUCAGAUACCGUCGUAGUCUUAACCAUAAACUAUGCCGACUAGGGAUCGGAUGAUGUUAAUUUUUUAAUGACUCAUUCGGCGCCUUACGGGAAAC
rnacentral:rRNA from 1 species